rnacentral:lncRNA from 1 species
CUUAAUUUAAGCCUCUUACAAAUCUUUAACAUUGGCAUUGAUUCCUUUUGGAUAUAAGAAAACUGCAGUUUGAAAUCAGAGAUUCCCAAAAGUUCUCAUCACAGUGCUCUUGGUCAUCCUUAUUCUUUUUAUGACUGUUAGAUCAAAAUAAAUGCCCAAGUUUCAGUUAUUAAAUGGAGAUAGAGCCAAACAACUCAAGUGUUGAUAGGUCGCCAGUGAAGACAAAGAUGAAACCAAACUACAGUUUCUUCGAUAGUUAUCACAACAAACUGUAUAAACUGAUGCAUCAAGGAAUAAUAACUCAACAAGUAAUGCUCAUUCAAGGAGUCGAUUUAUUUUGGGAGGAAAUGGACAUAUUGAUAGAUUCCUCCACUUUGAACUGCUUGCAGAACUUGCCUGGACUAUGUAUUACUUAUAUGCAUUGUGAUCUAUCUGUUGAUGCAGCGAAUUAUGGUAAUGCUGGUGUAUCUUUGCUGAUGUGUCACCAGUGAUGCAAUUUUUCCUAAGGAGCCGUCAAUUGGCUUGGUGUCGUGGCAUUUCUGUAUCCUCC